CUACGGGUCGCUGCAGUGAGGAAUAUUGCACAAUGGGGGGAACCCUGAUGCAGCAACGCCGCGUGGAGGAUGACGCAUUUCGGUGUGUAAACUCCUUUUAUAUGUCAAGAAAAUGACGGUAGCAUAUGAAUAAGCACCGGCUAACUCCGUGCCAGCAGCCGCGGUAAUACGGAGGGUGCAAGCGUUACUCGGAAUCACUGGGCGUAAAGGACGCGUAGGCGGGUUGGAAAGUCAGGUGUGAAAUCCUACAGCUUAACUGUAGAACUGCACUUGAAACUUCUAAUCUAGAGUAUGGGAGGGGGAGAUGGAAUUAGUGGUGUAGGGGUAAGAUCCGUAGAUAUCACUAGGAAUACCUAAAGCGAAGGCGAUCUCCUGGAACAUUACUGACGCUAAGGCGUGAAAGCGUGGGGAGCAAACAGGAUUAGAUACCCGAGUAGUC
rnacentral:rRNA from 1 species